rnacentral:rRNA from 1 species
AACCGUUCAGGGGUAANCGGGAGAAAUCCUGAAUUCGAAGGGGUUGGAUUCAAGUUUGCCGGGCAUCGGGUCACGUACCCAGUAUGAGAAUGCUGGUCGCCCACGGUGAUUUAUUUUGCUUGUGGUGUCGUUACUGGUACUCAACUGGAUGUGGUGUUGCUCCGGUAGUCCGGCAGAGUGCACUUCUGCCCUARUAGAAACGUCGCGACCCGUUGGGUGCCGGUCUAAGGCCCGGGUGGCA